ACGCUCGACACCUACGGUAGGCAGCAGUUGGGAAUAUUGGACAAUGGAGGAAACUCUGAUCCAGUGACGCCGCGUGAAGGAAGAAGGUCUUCGGAUUGUAAACUUAUUUUGUCAGGGAAGAAAAUGACUGUACCUGAAGAAAAAGCACCGGCUAACUACGUGCUAGCAGCCGCGGUAAUCUGAGCGGGCUGGCAAGGC
rnacentral:rRNA from 1 species